ACGAAGGGUGCAAGCGUUACUCGGAAUUACUGGGCGUAAAGCGUGCGUAGGUGGUUUGUUAAGUCUGAUGUGAAAGCCCUGGGCUCAACCUGGGAAUGGCACUGGAUACUGGCAAGCUAGAGUGUGGCAGAGGGUAGUGGAAUUCCUGGUGUAGCAGUGAAAUGCGUAGAGAUCAGGAGGAACAUCCGUGGCGAAGGCGACUGCCUGGGCCUGAACUGACGCUCAGACGCGAAAGCAUGGGGAGCGAACGG
rnacentral:rRNA from 1 species